AAGCAGCGGAGCGUGUGGUUUAAUUUCGAUGAUACACGAAGAACCUUACCAGGGUUUGACAUGCUGGUAGUAGGGAUCCGAAAGGUGACCGACCCUCGGGGAGCCAGCACAGGUGCUGCAUGGCUGUCGUCAGCUCGUGUCGUGAGAUGUUCGGUUAAGUCCGCUAACGAGCGCAACCCUUGCUGUGUGUUACAUGUGUCACACGGGACUGCCGGUUUUAAACCGGAGGAAGGUGGGGAUGAUGUCAAGUCAGCAUGGCCUUUAUAUCCUGGGCUACACACACGCUACAAUGGCCGGUACAAUAGGUUGCGAAGCCGCGAGGCGGAGCCAAUCCUCAAAGCCGGCCUCAGUUCAGAUUGCAGGCUGCAACCCGCCUGCAUGAAGAUGGAGUUGCUAGUAACCGCAGGUCAGCAAUACUGCGGUGAAUACGUUCCCGGGGCUU
rnacentral:rRNA from 1 species